rnacentral:rRNA from 1 species
GAUGAACGCUGGCGGCGUGCCUAAUACAUGCAAGUCGAGCGAACAGACGAGGAGCUUGCUCCUCUGACGUUAGCGGCGGACGGGUGAGUAACACGUGGAUAACCUACCUAUAAGACUGGGAUAACUUCGGGAAACCGGAGCUAAUACCGGAUAAUAUAUUGAACCGCAUGGUUCAAUAGUGAAAGACGGUUUUGCUGUCACUUAUAGCUGGAUCCGCGCCGCAUUAGCUAGUUGGUAAGGUAACGGCUUACCAAGGCAACGAUGCGUAGCCGACCUGAGAGGGUGAUCGGCCACACUGGAACUGAGACACGGUCCAGACUCCUACGGGGAGCAGCAGUAGGGAAUCUUCCGCAAUGGGCGAAAGCCUGACGGAGCAACGCCGCGUGAGGGAUGAAGGUCUUCGGAUCGUAAAACUCUGUUAUUAGGGAAGAACAAAUGUGUAAGUAACUAUGCACGUCUUGACGGUACCUAAUCAGAAAGCCACGGCUAACUACGUG